CUGCUUCCAGGAAAAGCCUCUAAGCAUCAGGUAACAUCAAAUCGUACCCCAAACCGACACAGGUGGUCAGGUAGAGAAUACCAAGGCGCUUGAGAGAACUCGGGUGAAGGAACUAGGCAAAAUGGUGCCGUAACUUCGGGAGAAGGCACGCUGAUAUGUAGGUGAAGCGACUUGCUCGUGGAGCUGAAAUCAGUCGAAGAUACCAGCUGGCUGCAACUGUUUAUUAAAAACACAGCACUGUGCAAACACGAAAGUGGACGUAUACGGUGUGACGCCUGCCCGGUGCCGGAAGGUUAAUUGAUGGGGUUAGCGGUAACGCGAAGCUCUUGAUCGAAGCCCCGGUAAACGGCGGCCGUAACUAUAACGGUCCUAAGGUAGCGAAAUUCCUUGUCGGGUAAGUUCCGACCUGCACGAAUGGCGUAAUGAUGGCCAGGCUGUCUCCACCCGAGACUCAGUGAAAUUGAACUCGCUGUGAAGAUGCAGUGUACCCGCGGCAAGACGGAAAGACCCCGUGAACCUUUACUAUAGCUUGACACUGAACAUUGAGCCUUGAUGUGUAGGAUAGGUGGGAGGCUUUGAAGUGUGGACGCCAGUCUGCAUGGAGCCGACCUUGAAAUACCACCCUUUAAUGUUUGAUGUUCUAACGUUGGCCCGUAAUCCGGGUUGCGGACAGUGUCUGGUGGGUAGUUUGACUGGGGCGGUCUCCUCCUAAAGAGUAACGGAGGAGCACGAAGGUUGGCUAAUCCUGGUCGGACAUCAGGAGGUUAGUGCAAUGGCAUAAGCCAGCUUGACUGCGAGCGUGACGGCGCGAGCAGGUGCGAAAGCAGGUCAUAGUGAUCCGGUGGUUCUGAAUGGAAGGGCCAUCGCUCAACGGAUAAAAGGUACUCCGGGGAUAACAGGCUGAUACCGCCCAAGAGUUCAUAUCGACGGCGGUGUUUGGCACCUCGAUGUCGGCUCAUCACAUCCUGGGGCUGAAGUAGGUCCCAAGGGUAUGGCUGUUCGCCAUUUAAAGUGGUACGCGAGCUGGGUUUAGAACGUCGUGAGACAGUUCGGUCCCUAUCUGCCGUGGGCGCUGGAGAACUGAGGGGGGCUGCUCCUAGUACGAGAGGACCGGAGUGGACGCAUCACUGGUGUUCGGGUUGUCAUGCCAAUGGCACUGCCCGGUAGCUAAAUGCGGAAGAGAUAAGUGCUGAAAGCAUCUAAGCACGAAACUUGCCCCGAGAUGAGUUCUCCCUGAGACUUAGAGUCUCCUGAAGGAACGUUGAAGACGACGACGUUGAUAGGCCGGGUGUGUAAGCGCAGCGAUGCGUUGAGCUAACCGGUACUAAUGAACCGUGAGGCUUAACCUUACAACGCCGAAGCUGUU
rnacentral:rRNA from 1 species